AUUGAACGCUGGCGGCAUGCCUUACACAUGCAAGUCGAACGGCAGCACGGGGGCAACCCUGGUGGCGAGUGGCGAACGGGUGAGUAACAUAUCGGAACAUACCCUAGAGUGGGGGAUAACGUAGCGAAAGUUACGCUAAUACCGCAUACGAUCUAAGGAUGAAAGUGGGGGAUCUUCGGACCUCAUGCUCAUGGAGUGGCCGAUAUCUGAUUAGCUAGUUGGUGAGGUAAAGGCUCACCAAGGCGACGAUCAGUAGCUGGUUUGAGAGAACGACCAGCCACACUGGAACUGAGACACGGUCCAGACUCCUACGGGAGGCAGCAGUGGGGAAUUUUGGACAAUGGGGGCAACCCUGAUCCAGCAAUGCCGCGU
rnacentral:rRNA from 1 species